rnacentral:rRNA from 1 species
GUAGGUGGCAAGCGUUGUCCGGAAUUAUUGGGCGUAAAGCGCGCGCAGGCGGUUCUUUAAGUCUGAUGUGAAAGCCCACGGCUCAACCGUGGAGGGUCAUUGGAAACUGGAGAACUUGAGUACAGAGGAGGAAAGCGGAAUUCCACGUGUAGCGGUGAAAUGCGUAGAGAUGUGGAGGAACACCAGUGGCGAAGGCGGCUUUCUGGUCUGUAACUGACGCUGAGGCGCGAAAGCGUGGGGGAGCAAACAGGAUUAGAUACCCUGGUAGUCCACGCCGUAAACGAUGAGUGCUAAGUGUUAGGGGGUUUCCGCCCCUUAGUGCUGCAGCUAACGCAUUAAGCACUCCGCCUGGGAGUACGGCCGCAAGGCUG